rnacentral:rRNA from 1 species
UGGGGAAUAUUGCACAAUGGGCGCAAGCCUGAUGCAGCCAUGCCGCGUGUGUGAAGAAGGCCUUCGGUUGUAAAGCACUUUCAGCGAGGAGGAAGGUGGUGAACUUAAUACGUUCAUCAAUUGACGUUACUCGCAGAAGAAGCACCGGCUAACUCCGUGCCAGCAGCCGCGGUAAUACGGAGGGUGCAAGCGUUAAUCGGAAUUACUGGGCGUAAAGCGCACGCAGGCGGUUUGUUAAGUCAGAUGUGAAAUCCCCGGGCUCAACCUGGGAACUGCAUUUGAAACUGGCAAGCUAGAGUCUCGUAGAGGGGGGUAGAAUUCCAGGUGUAGCGGUGAAAUGCGUAGAGAUCUGGAGGAAUACCGGUGGCGAAGGCGGCCCCCCUGGACGAAGACUGACGCUCAGGUGCGAAAGGCGUGGGGAGCAAAACAGGAUUAGAUACCCCUGGUAGUCCACGCUGUAAAACGAUGUCGAUUUUGGAGGUUGUGCCCUUGAGGCGUGGNUUCCGGAGCUAACG